GGGCAGCCCUACAAUGGAGAAGAGGGAUAAUUACAGCCUCGGCCUCGAAGCCACCGAGCUGCGCCUGGGGUUGCCCGGAGAUGGUGAUGCUGCGAGGAUUUCAGCGAAGAGGGGUUUUUCUGAGACGAUAGACUUGAAAUUGAAGCUUCAGACAACGGAUUCCGAGGAUGUGAAGAGAGAGAUAGAGAAGAUAAGGAGAACUCCUAGUGUGAAGAAUCUGGUGUCGGGUGAUGAUGUAGAUCCAGCAAAGCCUCCGGCUCCAAAGGCACAAGUGGUGGGUUGGCCACCGGUUCGAUCAUACAGGAAGAACGCCUUAUCGGUUCGACAUGAUAACGUAGUGAAAGAGGAGAAGCAUAGCAACAACACAUCGUUUGUGAAGGUUAGCAUGGAUGGCGCACCUUACCUACGUAAGGUCGACUUGAAGAUGUACAAAAGCUAUCAAGAACUCUCUAAAGCCUUGGAUGCUAUGUUCAACUCCUUCACUAUUGGCAAAUGCGAC
rnacentral:misc_RNA from 1 species